AUGCACGCUCGCGGGAGGCCUCACCCCUGCCAGCCGAGCGGUAGAGUCUCUUCGGAGCCUUGAGAGCGGCGCACGGGUGCGGAACACGUGUGCAACCUGCCUUUAUCUGGGGGAUAGCCUUUCGAAGGGAAGAUUAAUACCCCAUAAUAUACUGGAUGGCAUCAUCUGGUAUUGAAAACUCCGGUGGAUAGAGAUGGGCACGCGCAAGAUUAGAUAGUUGGUGAGGUAACGGCUCACCAAGUCAGCGAUCUUUAGGGGGCCUGAGAGGGUGAUCCCCCACACUGGUACUGAGACACGGACCAGACUCCUACGGGAGGCAGCAGUGAGGAAGAUUGGACAAUGGGUGAGAGCCUGAUCCAGCCAUCCCGCGUGAAGGACGACGGCCCUAUGGGUUGUAAACUUCUUUUGUAUAGGGAUAAACCUAGAUACGUGUAUCUAGCUGAAGGUACUAUACGAAUAAGCACCGGCUAACUCCGUG
rnacentral:rRNA from 1 species